CGUACACUCCUGCGGGAGGCAGCAGUGGGGAAUAUUGCACAAUGGGCGCAAGCCUGAUGCAGCGACGCCGCGUGGGGGAUGAAGGCCUUCGGGUUGUAAACUCCUUUCGCUAGGGACGAAGCUUUUUUGUGACGGUACCUAGAUAAGAAGCACCGGCUAACUACGUGCCAGCAGCCGCGGUAAUACGUAGGGUGCGAGCGUUGUCCGGAAUUACUGGGCGUAAAGGGCUCGUAGGUGGUUUGUCGCGUCGUCUGUGAAAUUCUGGGGCUUAACUCCGGGCGUGCAGGCGAUACGGGCAUAACUUGAGUGCUGUAGGGGUAACUGGAAUUCCUGGUGUAGUGGUGAAAUGCGCAGAUAUCAGGAGGAACACCGAUGGCGAAGGCAGGUUACUGGGCAGUUACUGACGCUGAGGAGCGAAAGCAUGGGUAGCGAACAGGAUUAGAUACCCUUGUAGUCCCAUG
rnacentral:rRNA from 1 species